rnacentral:rRNA from 1 species
UGGAAACGGGGUCUAAUACCGGAUACAACACUCUCGGGCAUCCGAUGAGUGUGGAAAGCUCCGGCGGUGAAGGAUGAGCCCGCGGCCUAUCAGCUUGUUGGUGAGGUAAUGGCUCACCAAGGCGACGACGGGUAGCCGGCCUGAAAAGGCGACCGGCCACCCUGGGACUGAAACACGGCCCAGACUCCUACGGGAGGCAGCAGUGGGGAAUAUUGCACAAUGGGCGAAAGCCUGAUGCAGCGACGCCGCGUGAGGGAUGACGGCCUUCGGGUUGUAAACCUCUUUCAGCAGGGAAGAAGCGAAAGUGACGGUACCUGCAGAAGAAGCGCCGGCUAACUACGUGCCAGCAGCCGCGGUAAUACGUAGGGCGCGAGCGUUGUCCGGAAUUAUUGGGCGUAAAGAGCUCGUAGGCGGUCUGUCGCGUCGGAUGUGAAAGCCCGGGGCUUAACCCCGGGUCUGCAUUCGAUACGGGCAGACUAGAGUGUGGUAGGGGAGAUCGGAA